rnacentral:rRNA from 1 species
UACACUCCUACGGGAGGCAGCAGUGGGGAAUUUUGGACAAUGGGCGAAAGCCUGAUCCAGCCAUGCCGCGUGCAGGAUGAAGGCCUUCGGGUUGUAAACUGCUUUUGUACGGAACGAAACGGCCUUUUCUAAUAAAGAGGGCUAAUGACGGUACCGUAAGAAUAAGCACCGGCUAACUACGUGCCAGCAGCCGCGGUAAUACGUAGGGUGCAAGCGUUAAUCGGAAUUACUGGGCGUAAAGCGUGCGCAGGCGGUUAUGUAAGACAGUUGUGAAAUCCCCGGGCUCAACCUGGGAACUGCAUCUGUGACUGCAUAGCUAGAGUACGGUAGAGGGGGAUGGAAUUCCGCGUGUAGCAGUGAAAUGCGUAGAUAUGCGGAGGAACACCGAUGGCGAAGGCAAUCCCCUGGACCUGUACUGACGCUCAUGCACGAAAGCGUGGGGAGCAAACAGGAUUAGAUACCCUAGUAGUCCCAUGA